GACGAACGCUGGCGGCGUGCUUAACACAUGCAAGUCGAGCGGUAAGGCCCUUUCGGGGGUACACGAGCGGCGAACGGGUGAGUAACACGUGGGUGACCUGCCCUCAGCUCUGGGAUAAGCCUGGGAAACUGGGUCUAAUACUGGAUAUGACUCCACGGUGCAUGUCGUGGGGUGGAAAGCCUUGUGCGGCUGAGGAUGGGCCCGCGGCCUAUCAGCUUGUUGGUGGGGUGAUGGCCUACCAAGGCGACGACGGGUAGCCGGCCUGAGAGGACGAUCAGCCACACUGGGACUGAGACACGGCCCAGACUCCUACGGGAGGCAGCAGUGGGGAAUCUUGCGCAAUGCGCGAAAGCGUGACGCAGCAACGCCGCGUGGGGAAGACGGCUUUCGGGUGUAACCC
rnacentral:rRNA from 1 species